CACCACAAUAAAAGCUGACACUACACUGCUAAAAUUAUUAUCUCAUAAUUACCUUCCAGAAAUGGGACCAGACAAAGGAUACUUAUACCAAGAGAGAGUAUUUAAUCAUGCUGAUUGAAUCAAACCUACAAACAAAUGGACUUAAUAGGUAUCUACAGAGUAUUCCAUCCAACAACAGAAAAAACAUUCUUCUCACCAGCACAUGGAACUUUCUCCAAAAUAGACCACAUGCCAGCUCAUAAAUCACGCUUAAGUAAAUGCAAAUGAAUCACAAUUAUCCCAUGCAUAUUAAUAGUUCGCAGUGUGAUGAAACUAGUAAUCAAAGCAAAAUUACAAAAGAAAUUAUGCAAACACAUGGAAAUUAAACAAUACCCUCUUAAAUAAUCCAUGGGUCGUAGAAGAAAUUAGACAGUCCCUAGAAUCAAAUGAUAAUGCCAGUACAACAUACUGGAACCUAUGGGACAAAAUGAAAGCAGUCUUUAGAGAAAAGUUUAUAGCUGUGACUGCCCAUAUCAGAAAAGCAGAACAAAUUCAAAUAAAUAACCCAGUGAUGUAUCACAGGGUCCUACAACAAUCCAAAUCCAAAGCUAGUACAGAAAGUAAAUUAUAAAGGUCAGAGCAGAAAUUAAUGAAAUUGAGACUAAAAUCAAUAGAAAGAAUCAAUGAAUCAAUCACUUCUUGGCCUUUUGGCUAAGACCAAGUGUAGAAUCAAAGAGCUGGUUCUUUGAAAGAAUAAACAAAACUGACAAACCCCUAGUCAAUCUCAUCAAAAAAAGGAAAGGAAAUACCCAAAUAGAUGCAAUUAGAAAUGAAAAAGGUGAAAUCACAAAGGAUUCUGCCAAAACACAAAAAAUUAUUAGUAACUACUCUGAGAAAUAAUACCAUAAAAAGGAGACAUAGCAAAAGAGAGUACAUAAUCAUACUGAUUGAAUCAACCCUUCAAACAAAUGGUCUUAAUAGAUAUCAACAGAGUAUUCCACCCAACAAAAACAGAAUACACAUUCUUCUGAUCAGCACAUGAGACAUUAGAGAACUUGUAUUCUAAUAAAAUGGAGAAUGCAGACGAAAUUGAUAGAUUCCUAGAUACAUAUGAACCAGCAAAGUUGAAUCAAUAAGGCAUAAAAUCUCUGAAUAAUCCACAAUCAAGGCAAUGAGAUUCAAGAAGCAAUUAAAAAAAACUACCAAAUACUAAGUUUUCUUAGGUCCCAAUGGAUUCGCUACUGAAUUCUACAAGAACUCAGGGGAAGCUCUAACGUCAAAACACCUCAAACUCUUUAAUACAAAUCAAUAAAUGGAACACAUCAUGUAAAUAAGAGAAAGGACAAAAACCAGAUGAUCAUCUCGAUGAUGCAGUAAAAGCCUUUGACAAAAUCCAAUAUCCAUUCAUGAUUUUUAAAAAAUGAAGAAAAUAGGUAUUAGAGGAACUUAUCUCAAUCCUGUAAGAGUCAUUUAUGGCAAACCAAUGACCAAUAUCAUAUAAAAAGAAAAGAAACUGAAUGCUUUUCUUUUAAAAUCAGGAAGAUGAUAAAGAUGUCUGCUAUCACCACUAAUGUUCAAUAUAGUUUUCCAAACAUUAGCCAGACCAAUUAGACAAGAGAAAAAAAUAAAAGGGAUAUGUAUAGGAAAGGAAGAAGUCAAAUUAUCAUUAUUUGGAAAUGACAUGAUCCUCUAAAUAGAAGAACAAAAAACAGAAUCUACCAAAAGACUUCUAGAAUUAAUACUCAAAUUCAUUAAGCAGGAUACGUAGUAGGAUACAAAGUCAACAUACAAAAAUCAGUAGCAUUCCUAUACAUCAAUAAUAAAUUCACCAAAAAAGAAAUUAGGGAAACAAUAUUCUUCACCAUAGCAUCAAAAAAAAUUCCUAAGAAUUAACCUAACCAAGGAAGUGAAAGACCUUUACAAUGAAAACUACAGUACUCUGAAAAGGGGGACAGAAGAGGAUAUUAAAAAAUGAAAAGAUAUCCCUUGUUCCUGAAUAGGCAGAACCAAUAUAGUCAAAAUGGCCAUACUUCCAAAACUGUAGUCCACUGCCUUUGUCUUAAUAUCAAC
rnacentral:lncRNA from 1 species